CGGCGGACGGGUGAGUAACACGUGGAUAACCUACCUAUAAGACUGGGAUAACUUCGGGAAACCGGAGCUAAUACCGGAUAAUAUAUUGAACCGCAUGGUUCAAUAGUGAAAGACGGUUUUGCUGUCACUUAUAGAUGGAUCCGCGCCGCAUUAGCUAGUUGGUAAGGUAACGGUUUACCAAGGCAACGAUGCGUAGCCGACCUGAGAGGGUGAUCGGCCACACUGGAACUGAGACACGGUCCAG
rnacentral:rRNA from 1 species